rnacentral:tRNA from 6 species
GCGCGGGUGGCGGAAUUGGUAGACGCGCAGCGUUGAGGUCGCUGUGACCUUUAUCGGUCGUGGGGGUUCAAGUCCCCCUCCGCGCA